UACGAAGGGGGCUAGCGUUGUUCGGAUUUACUGGGCGUAAAGCGCACGUAGGCGGAUCGAUCAGUCAGGGGUGAAAUCCCAGAGCUCAACUCUGGAACUGCCUUUGAUACUGUCGAUCUGGAGUAUGGAAGAGGUGAGUGGAAUUCCGAGUGUAGAGGUGAAAUUCGUAGAUAUUCGGAGGAACACCAAUGGCGAAGGCGGCUCACUGGUCCAUUACUGACGCUGAGGUGCGAAAGCGUGGGGAGCAAACAGG
rnacentral:rRNA from 1 species